rnacentral:rRNA from 1 species
GGAGGAUCCGAGCGUUAUCCGGAUUUAUUGGGUUUAAAGGGAGCGUAGGUGGACUGGUAAGUCAGUUGUGAAAGUUUGCGGCUCAACCGUAAAAUUGCAGUUGAUACUGUCAGUCUUGAGUACAGUAGAGGUGGGCGGAAUUCGUGGUGUAGCGGUGAAAUGCUUAGAGAUCAUACAGAACACCGAUUGCGAAGGCAGCUUACCAAACUAUAUCUGACGUUGAGGCACGAAAGUGUGGGUAUCAAACAGGAUUAGAUACCCUGGUAGUCCACACGGUAAACGAUGGAUACUCGCUGUUGGCGAUAUACUGUCAGCGGCCAAGCGAAAGCAUUAAGUAUCCCACCUGGGGAGU